rnacentral:rRNA from 1 species
GACGAACGCUGGCGGCGUGCUUAACACAUGCAAGUGGAGCGACGAACCAGGCUUCGGCCUGGGGCAGAGCCGCGAACGGGUGAGUAACACGUGGGUAACCUGCCCUGAUGAUUGGGACAACCCGAGGAAACUCGGGCUAAUACCAAAUGUGCCCUCCGGCCGUAAGGCCUCGUGGGGAAAGGAAGCUUCGGCCUCCGCAUCGGGAUGGGCCCGCGGCCCAUUAGCUUGUUGGUGAGGUAACGGCCACCAAGGCUACGAUGGGUAGCUGGUCUGAGAGGACGAUCAGCCACACUGGGACUGAGACACGGCCCAGGACUCCUACGGGAGGCAGCAGUGGGGAAUCUUGCGCAAUGCGCGAAAGCGUGACGCAGCAACGCCGCGU